rnacentral:misc_RNA from 1 species
AGAAGGAGCUGUUGAACGAGUACAACGAUGUGAAUAUGCUGAACUCACUCAUACAAAAGAAUAUCCGUUACGGGGUACGCAUCAAGGAUGUAGAGAUUAACACACAAACGAUACCCGUUUCCGGAAAGAUAAUCUUCACGCAGACCGGGUACCGGGCACGGGGAAGCAUCUCACGUAAUAUCGAAGCGGAGUUCACCAUCUAUGAUAUGCUGUCCC